rnacentral:lncRNA from 13 species
AAAAGGAUCCAUAGCUAGAGAGAGGCGAGUCCUUGCAGGCGUUUCUUUGGGCAGGUGGUCUGAAAUGAUCCCUUACUGAUCUGUUGAUUAAGUGUUAAAUGAUGUAUUCUAAUUUGCUAGGUCUUUUUUUUUUUUUUUUUUUUUUUUUUGAGACGAUGACUUGCUCUGUCACCCAGGCUGGAGUGCAGUGGUGAGAUCUUGGCUCACUGCAGCCCCUGCCUCCCAGGUUCACGUGAUUCUUCUGCCUCGGCCUCCCAAGUAGCUGAGAUUACAGGUGUCCACCACCGCACCAGGCUAAUUUUUGUAGUUUUAGUAGAGACUGGGUUUCACCACGUUGGCCAGGCCGGUCUCAAACUCCUGGCCUCAAAUGUUCCACCCACCUGAGCCUCCCAAAGUGCUGGGAUACAGGCGUGAGCCACGGUGCGUGGCCUGCUAGGUCAUUUUUAAGUUUGGAAAUACCUUACAUAUCCAGUCUUCUGAGGACCUGACCUGUGAGGACCAAGCCUUGGAUAUUUUCACCAUAUUUUAAAUAGCAUCUGGUAGCAACGAAUUCCGCCAGGAAGUAGGAUUCAUUCAUUUCACAUUUUGCCAGUUGUGAGCACAUCCUUGGGUGUGCGAGACCUGUGUGGUUCUCGUACACAAAGGCAGCCUUUCAGCCUUUCUGCCUCUCCGUGCAGAGGAACGGUGACGUCGACGUCCACAAUUCAUCAGUGCCCCCAUGUUUCUUCCUGGGGUGCAAAUUACCGCCUAGUGAUUUGCUCUGCUAAGAGCCAUGUAAUGCAGCGGAAAACUCACAAGGACACAGUCUGAAUACAGCCUUUUCACAAGCAUUAGGCACAAGCUCCCAUAGAGGGCGAGAGAGCCCGGCCACUGGCUUCUUCCCCAUCAGGUUGUACAACUGGUGAGAGUAUCCUCACAGGGGUCCUCGUUCUGGCGUGACUGGGAUGAGUGACCUUGCCUGUGUGGCAGUGUAAUCAUCAGAAUUAUCUGGAAGUGGCCCUGGGUUGCCUGGAAAGAGCUGGUCGGGGCCUCCCCUCCCACCCAAGCCUUGCUUCCAGUGGAGCUGAGAGCUUCCCCUCCCUUAGCUGGAGGGUUCCCAGAUGGAGGCAGCUGCUCCCAACUCAAGAGGGAGGCCCAGUCCCCCAGCCCAGCCAACCACAGGGGCCAGGACACACAUCCUACCAUGUGUGUGGAGUGGACAUCGCUGCUGAAGAGCACUAAAGACCACCCCAGACUCUACGAGGUUUUCUUGGACUGGAAUCAAGAAAUGGGAAGUUGGCCCUGUGUUUCAGAGCUAUUAGACAUGGCAGGCAAAGUGAUUAAAUGUUUUUUUUGAAAUUGUGGACUCAUAGCAAAUUGCCCAGUACGAGGGAGAUCCCAUGAACUCUUCUCCCAGGUUCCUCUAACCAGAGCAGCUCACAUACCCUCAGAACGAUCACAAGGCCGGGAAAUUGACACUGGUCACUACUGUGAACUGCUCUACAGACUUGAUUCAGAUUUCCACAGUUUUCACACACACUCAUUUGUGUGCCUAGUUUUAUGUAGUUUUUUUUUUUUUUUUAAGCUAGAAUUUUUUUUAACUUUAUGUUUUGAGACAGUCUCACUCUGUCUUCCAGGCUAGAGUGCAAUGAUGCAAUCUUGACUCACUUCAAUCUCCACUUCCCGGGCUCAGAUGAUCCUACUGCCUCAGUGUCCCAAGUAGCUGGGACUACAGGCACACGCCACCACACCUGCCUGAUUUUUGUAUUUUCUAAAGAUGGACAGGGUUUCGCCUCCCUAGCCUCCCCCAUUUCUCCCCCAUUCCCUAGCCUCAGGCAAUCACCAUCUGCUCUUUACCUCUAUACUUUUAUCAUUUCAAAAAUGUUAUAUAAAAUGAAAUCAUACAUUCUGUAACUUAAAAGUAUAUGGUGUAUUUGUCUAUCAAAGUAUUAUUCUUUACACGUUAACCAUGAUUUUUUUUUCUUUUUUUGAGACAGAGUCUCACCCUGUUGUCAAGGCUGGAGUGCAAUGACACAGUCUUGGCUCACUGCAGCCUCCACCUCCCAGGUUCAAGCGAUUCUCCUGCCUCAGCCUCCCAAGUAGCUGGGAUUACAAGCGUGUGCCACCACAUCCAGCUGAUUUUUGUAUUUUUAGUAGAGAUGGG